GGUACAGAGUCAAUGUGGAGGAUAUAUACAGGGUGUUAUGGUACAGAGUCAAUGUGGAGGCUAUAUACAGGGUGUUACGGUACAGAGUCAAUGUGGAGGCUAUAUACAGGGUAUUACGGUACAGAGUCAAUGUGGAGGCUAUAUACAGGGGGUACCAGUACAGAGUCAAUGUGGAGGCUAUAUAAAGGGUAUUAUGGUACAGAGUCAAUGUGGAGGCUAUAUACAGGGGGUUACGGUACAGAGUCAAUGUGGAGGCUAUAUACAGGGGGUACCGGUACAGAGUCAAUGUGGAGACUAUAUACAGGGUAUUACGGUACAGAGUCAAUGUGGAGGCUAUAUACAGGGUGUUAUGGUACAGAGUCAAUGUGGAGACUAUAUACAGGGUAUUACGGUACAGAGUCAAUGUGGAGGCUAUAUACAGGGUGUUACAGUGCAGAGUCAAUGUGGAGGCUAUAUACAGGGGGUAUCGGUACAGAGUCAAUGUGGAGGCUAUAUAGGGGGUACCGGUACAGAGUCAAUGUGGAGGCUAUAUACAGGGGAUACCGGUACAGAGUCAAUGUGGAGGCUAUAUACAGGGGUACUGGUACAGAGUCAAUGUGGAGGCUAUAUACAGGGGUACUGGUACAGAGUCAAUGUGGAGACUAUAUACAGGGUAUUACGGUACAGAGUCAAUGUGGAGGCUAUAUACAGGGGUUA
ensembl:lncRNA